rnacentral:rRNA from 1 species
CCUACGGGAGGCUGCAGUGGGGAAUAUUGCACAAUGGGCGCAAGCCUGAUGCAGCCAUGCCGCGUGUGUGAAGAAGGCCUUCGGGUUGUAAAGCACUUUCAGCGGGGAGGAAGGCGGUGAGGUUAAUAACCUCAUCGAUUGACGUUACCCGCAGAAGAAGCACCGGCUAACUCCGUGCCAGCAGCCGCGGUAAUACGGAGGGUGCAAGCGUUAAUCGGAAUUACUGGGCGUAAAGCGCACGCAGGCGGUCUGUCAAGUCGGAUGUGAAAUCCCCGGGCUCAACCUGGGAACUGCAUUCGAAACUGGCAGGCUAGAGUCUUGUAGAGGGGGGUAGAAGUCCAGGUGUAGCGGUGAAAUGCGUAGAGAUAUGGAGGAAUACCGGUGGCGAAGGCGGCCCCCUGGACAAAGACUGACGCUCAGGUGCGAAAGCGUGGGGAGCAAACAGGAUUAGAUACCCGUGUAGUC